rnacentral:tRNA from 2 species
CAGAGAGUAGUUUAGUUUAGAACACCAGCUUUGGGAGCUGGAGGUGGAGGUUUGAUUCCUUUCUUUCUGA